GCUAAACCCUCACCUAUUAGCCACAAGGUUUUUUAUUAACCAUUCUAUUACACACCCUGUGUGUUAUAACCAGACCAUGGGCUCUCAUUUCAUGGGAAGCACUGUUAACUGUCAACAAAUUGCCUCCUCGGGAGAGGGGGCCCCAGUCGACAUCUCAGGACCCUCAAAUGGCACUUAUGUGGUCCAGGGUGGGUGGUGGUUGUGUGGGAAAAACGCCUACAUGUCCCUACCGGCCAACUGGACGGGGCAGUGUGCCCCUGUGCAUGUGACUGAUCACACUUUUAUUGUGACAGCCCAGGUCCUGUCAGCGCUGCAAAGAGUUAAACGCAGUGUCCCUGAAAUGAAGCCCCAUGACUCUGCAUGGGGUACUGACGUGCCCGAGGAUUUUAAAUUAUGGACCACUGGUAACAAAGUGGUAUUGGCUCUAUUUCCGCAAAUAGGUGUGGGAAAAGCUCUACUAAGAAUCGAGACCCUGGACUAUCGCAUGGGCCUAUUUCUGAAUGCCUCAAAAAUAAUUAAUGAGGCCCAGAAUAAGGAGCUGGGUAAUCUACGUACCAUGGUUUUGCAAAAUAGAAUGGCUCUAGAUCUCUUAACAGCAUCCCAGGGGGAGGUAUGUAAAUGAGUACUGCUAUGUCUACUCUCCAAGGGUUAAAAAUUGCCAUGACUUCAGAUUAUGUUCCCGACACAACUUGGGGUUGGAUGAUGGGUCUGUUCGGCUGGGUAACUCCUUUCCUUACUAUGAUAAUUCCUGUAUGUAUUAUUUUCCUUCUUGUUUGUUGUUGUGGUCCUUUUCUCUUGCAAUGUUUAAUGAAUCGUGUUUAUGCCACAAUGGACAGUAUGAUGGGUCAAAGAUAUGAUAGAUUCCUCUGCGUUAGGCCUUUGGCCUAAAAGAGGGGACUGAGAGAACAUUUUGUCCUCUUUUUAGUGUGCUUGCAUGAGAAGCAGAAGUGUCUGUGGUUUUGUGUGUGUGUGUGUAUCGGAGGUCUGAAGGUCAACGUCUGGUUUCAGUCUUGCAGGUGUUAAAAAUAUGAGACCAUGGUCUGGUUUCAUUUCGCAGCUUCACCCACGCUGGAAAAUUCCACUAUGCUCAGAUAUGAAAUAUGCUGAUUCAUGUUAAGACAAAAUGCUGUAUGACUAGCCCAUAUUUGGAGUGCCUUUCUGCUAUCAGCCCCUGUGUAUAAAUAUCCCUGUCCAUCCUGUGUUGUCAGGCUUGCAGAAUAAACCAUUCUAACUACA
rnacentral:lncRNA from 1 species